rnacentral:rRNA from 1 species
AUUGAACGCUGGCGGCAGGCCUAACACAUGCAAGUCGAGCGGUGGAAGGGAGCUUGCUUCUGGAUUCAGCGGCGGACGGGUGAGUAAUUCCUAGGAAUCUGCCUGGUAGUGGGGGAUAACGUCCGGAAACGGGCGCUAAUACCGCAUACGUCCUGAGGGAGAAAGUGGGGGAUCUUCGUACCUCACGCUAUCAGAUGAGCCUAGGUCUGAUUAGCUAGUGGGUGGGGUAAAGGCCGACCAAGGCGACGAACCGUAACUGGUCUGAGAGGAUGAUCACUCACACUGGAACUGGACACCGGUCAAAAUUCCUAGGGGAGGAGGAGGAGGGGAAUAUUGGCAAAUGACCGAAGGCCUAAUCCGGCCAUGCGGCGUGUGUGAAGAAGGUCUUGGGACUUUAAAGUCCUUUAAGUUGGGAGAACGGGCAGUAAGUUAAUACCUUGCUCUAUUGACGUUACCAACAGAAUAAGCACCGGCUAACUUCGUG